UCACAGUCUGAGCUCAUCCAAACGCCACAAGGCAGGAAAGAAGACAAAAGGUAUAUCAGCAGCAUACCAUGGAGGAUGUGUCCAGUCAUCCUUUCAUUACUAUAUAUAAAGUAAUAAAAAGAAAACCCCAGACCCUGCUCUCCUGUACAGGCUGGAAGGACAAGGAAGGACAUCCAGGACAUGGUGCUGCCAGGGGAAUCACACAAGGGCGUAGAAGGACGAAACUCCCAAGAUGACUGGUACCAGGAGCUACCUGGGAAAAGAUAGUGGGAGUUGCUCUCUGCCCAGCCACAGCCCGUGGGACUGAGACCUGUUGUAACUAAAAGAUACAGAGAGUUGUGUUUGGGGAGGA
ensembl:lncRNA